GCGGGUAAAGACAUAUUGGGCUUAAGGGAGGGCAUAGCCCUGGUCAAAGUCAGGUAUGAAACACUAAAUUUAAAAAAUAUAUAUAUAUAUUUUAAAACUUAUUUGUUGGAACAUUAUACAAAUAUCUGUGUAAGUGUUGAGUAUGUUUUUAAGGUUUUUUAACAUAAUUUUUUCAUCAAAAUACUUUUAUUUGGUUUGAAAAAAUUUGAGUGGUAGUAUUGGAUGGAUGGAAAAUAACGUCAUAUUCCUCCAUCAAAUAGAGUAGGCCCGAUAACUUCAAACAUGUUUUAAAUACUGUCACACUGUCAAAGUUUAUUAUUAGAAUAAGCCAGUGCAAUAUUUUUUUUUUUUAAUUUUAAAAAUAUUUUUAAAAUAAUAUAAUGCAUCACAUUUGUGGAUGGAAUAUUUUAACCUGUUUUGAUUUUUAUGUUUUUAUCAACACUAAAAAAUAUUUAAUUUACGUAACUAUCUGUACAUAAUAAAAUUAAUAAACUGUAAUAUUUCAAAGGUAUACAAAGAUUAACUGCUUUUUCCAGUGAAAUUAUUUUACAAAUGACAUUCAUACCAAAAAUAUUUUACCUUCUCAACAUCUUAAUCUUCCACGUGUCUUUCCCCAUUUUAAAGAUUCAAUGAGGAAAUAUCUGCCCUUGCCAUUUUCGCCGGGCAGGGUUCUGAUUGCGCGAUUACGUACAGCAUCCUUCGAACCGGUCCCAUAUACAAAAUAUUAUGAUUGGAACUAAAGCCAUUCAACUUUAUUAAAUGUACAUGUACUAGUGAAGUUUUCGGUGUUGUCAUAGCCCCCAACUUUACUGGACAGUGUGACAGGGACUGACAAAGGACUCCUUACAAUUAAGGGGUUUACCUGGCUGAGCACAUAAGCUCUAAAAGCUUGGGUGGGCUAGGUGCAAUACUUGUUCGUGCAUUACACACCUCUUCGCCUCUGUGUGUAGCACCGAACUGGUGUGCGGUCUUCUCGUCAGAAACAUGUCUCUGUGGGACUUCAGUUGUGACCCUAAUACUGUUGUUACGUGUGCUCCCGCACUACAUACAUGAUGACAUCUACGCGGCGCCUAAGCGCGCGCCCGAUGCUCCGUGAACAGGGAUUGCUGCACGCUGUGCAUCAAACAUCGGAGCCGCUCGAAAAUGCUCGGCGGACUUCGUGUGGCUGGCUUUGAACCGGACAUCGCCUGUGCGGCGUUUCCGGUCAUGUAGGCCCAGAACAGUCUCCUAUGUUUUAUUCCUCAAGUUUCAGCGUAUAUAAGGUCCCAAAUUUGCUGAGGGGAAGAGAGGCAGCUCCAAAUCGACCACCGAGGCGGGGAGUUGCUGCCGCCCGAAGCUACACCGUCAGAACUUCGCCUGCCUGCCGUCACGCUGCCCGAAGAAACUCCGACCAGCUUGUUACUGUCCAAUUCUGUUAAGAGUGAAGCCUCCGAAAACGAAUGUACUUCGAUACAUUAUCCUAUGUUGAAUAUUUGUAUAUAUGUCAUUAAGAGUACGUGUUGGUUAUGAAUAAAAGUGUAACACAUUGCA